ensembl:processed_transcript A530058N18Rik RIKEN cDNA A530058N18 gene
GCCGCUGUCGCCGAGCGUCGGAGCCCGAGGGGCCGCGGCCGCGCGCCGCGGGGGGAGGAGACGGUCUGGAGUCCCCCCGCUGCGCCGGAGAUGGGGAGACGGAGAACUGCAGCGCCCCUUGGGGCUUCUGAGGCGCCCAGGUAACCUCACCUGGCCGCCAGUCUCCCGCAGGAGGAACAGACACAUUGGUUCUACACCGAACCUAUUAACAGCUCAACUUCAAAUAUUUGGCAGAGGUGGGAUUGCAGUUCACUAAGGUUAUAUGAGCCAGCUUGGUUACGCAAAUGUGAAAAUGCACAUUUUCCAGCCUGUGUCAAGGUGGAAACAUCAGGGCAGAAGAACAUAACUGAUAAUAGCUGGUCACACCUAAGAAGCCAGGAAGCAGAGAGAAAUGGAGACCAGCCUACGAGGACACAUUCCUAGUGACCUUCUUCCCAACUUUGGGUUUCCACCAAUUCACAAGAACACCAUUAAUUAUGAAUUCAUCAACAAAUCAAUUCAUCAAUUAAGUUAAAGCUCCCAUGAUGCAAUCACUUCCCUACAUCCUCCCGUCUGAACAUCCUCGCCAUUGAGAACCAAGCCUUCAACACAUGAGUCUGGGCACAAUAAGUCACAUUGAAUCCAUUGAAGAUGUAAAUUUUAAUGGUUGAAAAUGACUAGCAUAUUAUGUCUGUGAAAUUCAGUAAAGGGGAAUAUGGAAGAGAACGUGUACUAAAACUAAGGGUUCUAGAACGCAUCUGUGCUCUUCCUUUCAAUCUGGAGAGUGAGACAAGGAAGUCUUAAGUUCAAGGCCAGCCUGGGCUAUGUAGUGUAUGCUACCAUUGGCUAUAUAAUUUGACUCCAGCAUUACAAGAAGUAGAGUAAAUAAAAGAUAAAAAAAAUGACUAUAGAAGUAUCAAGAUAUUACGACUCAUUCAUAUGAUUUCUGCAAUUGAUUUAGUAUGGCAUAUGAUUUAGUAAUCAAAGUGGAUGAAGAUGAUAUAUAUGCAUUAAUAAGAAUAAGUAUGUGAGACUAAACACAGAAUGUCCACCAGACACUGGGCAGUAAUUAGAUUCAACUCUUGUAAAAAUGUUCAACAGGAAGAAAAAAAAACUAUAACUUUGCUUUAUACUUGGAUAGUUACUUUCAGUCAUACAGGUAUGGAAUAAAAUGAAAGGAAAAUGUAGAUGGGAUCUGAAGGCCAGCCUUCUAUUAUACUAUUAAAUUGUAGUGCAGGAAAGAAGAAGAGUUUGUUGUAUUUGAUGUUUUCCGAGGUUUUGUUUUUGUUUUUGAAGCAUCUUUUGUUUCACAGAUGCUGUUAAAUGUUGAACAUGACACAAUAAAAAGAAACAGACAAAAGUCACUGUCCUUGAGGAACUAGUAUGAAGAAAAAUCAGAUGUUAAUAAAACAAUCAUUCACAAGA